UACGUAGGGUGCGAGCGUUUGUCCGGAAUUAUUGGGCGUAAAGAGCUCGUAGGCGGCUUGUCACGUCGGGUGUGAAAGCCCGGGGCUUAACCCCGGGUCUGCAUCCGAUACGGGCAGGCUAGAGUGUGGUAGGGGAGAUCGGAAUUCCUGGUGUAGCGGUGAAAUGCGCAGAUAUCAGGAGGAACACCGGUGGCGAAGGCGGAUCUCUGGGCCAUUACUGACGCUGAGGAGCGAAAGCGUGGGGAGCGAACAGG
rnacentral:rRNA from 1 species